ACAUGCAAGUCGAACGGAAAGGCCCUUCAGGGUACUCGAGUGGCGAACGGGUGAGUAACACGUGGGUGAUCUGCCCUGCACUCUGGGAUAAGCCUGGGAAACUGGGUCUAAUACCGGAUAGGACCACACACUUCAUGGUGAGUGGUGCAAAGCUUUUGCGGUGUGGGAUGAGCCCGCGGCCUAUCAGCUUGUUGGUGGGGUAAUGGCCCACCAAGGCGACGACGGGUAGCCGGCCUGAGAGGGUGACCGGCCACACUGGGACUGAGAUACGGCCCAGACUCCUACGGGAGGCAGCAGUGGGGAAUAUUGCACAAUGGGCGCAAGCCUGAUGCAGCGACGCCGCGUGAGGGAUGACGGCCUUCGGGUUGUAAACCUCUUUCAGUAGGGACGAAGCGAAAGUGACGGUACCUACAGAAGAAGGACCGGCCAACUACGUGCCAGCAGCCGCGGUAAUACGUAGGGUCCGAGCGUUGUCCGGAAUUACUGGGCGUAAAGAGCUCGUAGGUGGUUUGUCGCGUUGUUCGUGAAAACUCACAGCUUAACUGUGGGCGUGCGGGCGAUACGGGCAGACUAGAGUACUGCAGGGGAGACUGGAAUUCCUGGUGUAGCGGUGGAAUGCGCAGAUAUCAGGAGGAACACCGGUGGCGAAGGCGGGUCUCUGGGCAGUAACUGACGCUGAGGAGCGAAAGCGUGGGUAGCGAACAGGAUUAGAUACCCUGGUAGUCCACGCCGUAAACGGUGGGUACUAGGUGUGGGUUUUCCUUCCUUGGGAUCCGUGCCGUAGCUAACGCAUUAAGUACCCCGCC
rnacentral:rRNA from 1 species